rnacentral:rRNA from 1 species
UAGGGAAUCUUCGGCAAUGGGGGCAACCCUGACCGAGCAACGCCGCGUGAGUGAAGAAGGUUUUCGGAUCGUAAAGCUCUGUUGUAAGAGAAGAACGUGUGUGAGAGUGGAAAGUUCACACAGUGACGGUAACUUACCAGAAAGGGACGGCUAACUACGUGCCAGCAGCCGCUGUAAUACGUAGGUCCCGAGCGUUGUCCGGAUUUAUUGGGUGUAAAGCGAGCGCAGGCGGUUUAAUAAGUCUGAAGUUAAAGGCAGUGGCUUAACCAUUGUUCGCUUUGUAAACUGUUAAACUUGAGUGCAGAAGGGGAGAGUGGAAUUCCAUGUGUAGCGGUGAAAUGCGUAGAUAUAUGGAGGAACACCGGUGGCGAAAGCGGCUCUCUGGUCUGUAACUGACGCUGAGGCUCGAAAGCGUGGGGAGCAAACAGG